ACCAGGAAGUGCAGUGGUUACAGCUGCAAGCUUUGGACUUGAAGGUUGUAGGUUUGAAUCCCACCUCUUGUUG
rnacentral:tRNA from 1 species